rnacentral:tRNA from 2 species
UGGGCUAUGGUGUAGUGGUAGUCACACAAGGUUUUGGCUCUUGUAGCCCAGGUUCGAAUCCUGGUAGCCCAA